rnacentral:sRNA from 1 species
AUCACGGUUUCUAUCUUUUAGCGUCUCCGGCUUGACCCACCACGUCGUGGACAUAAUUUUGGCUCAUCACUUCGGGCAGGAGGAGUUGCAGGCCAAUUUGGACCUCAUUCAAACAUACAGACUGCACAUUGCUCAAGAUAUCAAUCAAGAAAAUCUCCAGCUCUUCCUGGGUUCCUAUAAUGGACGCAGAGACCUGGAGAUCGAAAGACCUAUUCUGGGCCAAAAUGAUAACAGAUUGAAAACAUUAAAGUGUUCUACUUUACUGGUGGUGGGGGACAAUUCACCUGCUGUGGAAGCUGUGGUUGAAUGUAAUUCUCGCCUCGACCCUAUAAAUACAACUUUGCUAAAGGUAGUGUGUUUUCUCUUACAGCCAACCAUUACGAUAACUGAGAUACAUUCCAGCUCUGUGUUUUAAGCAGCACUGUACAAUUCUCUUCUCCUCACUCAUGACUGUUAGUGUUCUCUGUCUGGAUGAAUAAGAAGAAAGCACGCUAAUUGCGUUUAUGUAUUUAUGGGUGGGGACAGCACAUGCCUAGGCACACAUGGCACUUAGGACAACUUCCUUCUUUCCCUCUGUCAUGUGGGAGGGCACUAUCAGAGGAGCUAGA